UGCCUCGUGGUCUAAGGGUAACGACGUCGGUAUUCUCUGAAUUCUUAUUCAUGGCCGGAGGUCGCGGGUUCGAGUCUCACCGGGGUAG